AACGAACGCUGGCGGCAUGCCUAACACAUGCAAGUCGAACGAGACCUUCGGGUCUAGUGGCGCACGGGUGCGUAACGCGUGGGAAUCUGCCCCUUGGUUCGGAAUAACUUCGGGAAACUGAAGCUAAUACCGGAUAAUGACGUAAGUCCAAAGAUUUAUCGCCAAGGGAUGAGCCCGCGUAGGAUUAGCUAGUUGGUGGGGUAAAGGCUCACCAAGGCGACGAUCCUUAGCUGGUCUGAGAGGAUGAUCAGCCACACUGGGACUGAGACACGGCCCAGACUCCUACGGGAGGCAGCAGUGGGGAAUAUUGGACAAUGGGCGAAAGCCUGAUCCAGCAAUGCCGCGUGAGUGAUGAAGGCCUUAGGGUUGUAAAGCUCUUUACCCGGGAAGAUAAUGACAGUACCGGGAGAAUAAGCUCCGGCUAACUCCGUGCCAGCAGCCGCGGUAAAGUGUGACUGU
rnacentral:rRNA from 1 species